rnacentral:tRNA from 1 species
GCGCGAGUGGCGGAAUAGGUAGACGCGCUGGCUUCAGGUGCCAGUGUUCGCAAGGACGUGGGGGUUCAAGUCCCCCCUCGCGCAC